rnacentral:rRNA from 1 species
GACGAACGCUGGCGGCGUGCUUAACACAUGCAAGUCGAACGAUGAAGCUAGAGCUUGCUCUGGUGGAUUAGUGGCGAACGGGUGAGUAACACGCGAGUAACCUGCCCCGAACUCUGGGAUAACUGCUGGAAACGGUAGCUAAUACCGGAUAUGACCAAUGAAGGCAUCUUCUGUUGGUGGAAAGAAUUUCGGUUCGGGAUGGACUCGCGGCCUAGCAGCUUGUUGGUGGGGUAACGGCUCACCAAGGCGACGCCGGGUAGCCGGCCUGAGAGGGUGAUCGGCCACACUGGGACUGAGACACGGCCCAGACUCCUACGGGAGGCAGCAGUGGGGAAUAUUGCACAAUGGGCGCAAGCCUGAUGCAGCAACGCCGCGUGAGGGACGACGGCCUUCGGGUUGUAAACCUCUUUUAGUAGGGAAGAAGCGAAAGUGACGGUACCUGCAGAAAAAGGACCGGCCAACUACGUGCCAGCCGCCGCAGUAA